UUCACACCAAAUUCACCGAUUAGGUCGAGGCAGAGAAGCUAAUUCCAUCCAAUUUAAAUGUCGAAAAUUUGGUUUAGGGAUGCGCAACCCUAGUUUGCCAAAACCUUUAUCCUGGGUUUCUACUUCUGUUACUCAGAUAUCUCAGAUUUAUCCCGUGGUUUCUCAGCAGCAGGAACAGAAGUGGGAAUGGAUGAGUUUAUGAAAAUCAAAAAUGUCUCUGAGAAAUCUGAGAAAGCAGGAAUAAACUCAGGAGAAGCUAAUUCCAUCCAAUUGAAAGGUUUUGGCAGUGAUUUUGUCAACAAAGGUGGUUCGCCAUUCUCAAGCGAAGUUUGAUAUCUUUCUUCAACAUUGAGAAACAGCUGUUUCUGACGGUUCUGGCAAGGUACUCCUCACCUGGCUAACCAUAGAUAGGUCAAAGAGGUAUCCCUGAUUGAACUCUUUAGUAUUUUCUUCUUGUUUCUGUAGCGGGCUUGGUAGUUGACUAUUGUGUCUUACAGUUGUUCCAUUUUGCAAAUCAUGCUCUCAUUCCUUCCAUAUAGUCCUAAUUUUAAAAAUCAGUUUUGGACUAAGAAUCACAUAAACAUCCCUGUACUCUUAUUAUGCCGGUUUCCGAAGGUUUAUCGGAGGAUAAAUAGGCACAAAAACUAGCCUUGCGAUGUUGGCUUGAUCAUGAUUUUGACCAAUAUGAACUGUAUGAGAAAAGCACCAUGAUUUUGUAAGACAUCUCUGGAUCAAAAAUAUGUGUGUAAUCCUGUACUUGUCAAAGACUCCCUCAGACAAGAGCCCAACAUUUUAUUAAUUCGUGUCCAAAGUACAGUUUUUUAGAUCAUAACAGAUAUAGAAUGAUCCAGUGUGAGUUCAAUAUCUUAAUUCUGUUCAGAAUUCAUUCUUUGGGUUCUUGAUGCAUCUUGCUAUAUGGUUAUGCAGUUCUCUGAGGCAGAUCGAAAGUUCUGCACAUGUUCUUAGUUGUUUAAAUGUUUAUAUGAUAUAAGAAAUUUGGUUCAGUUUAUAUGUUUAUAUGAGGGUUGUUAGACCUAGCAAAAAGGUAAAAAAUAUCAUUUUCUGAUUGUGCAACUAGAAGCUAAUAAUUCAUGUUCUUUGGGGUAUACUUUCAUACUCUUAAAUGGUUGUUUCCUUCUGUUUAUAUCUUUAGUCAAGGGGAUUCAUGAUUCGUCUAAGUGAUGUCACAGAUCUUAGCUAUGGAUGAAUGUCCAAAUGAGGCUUUAUGUCAUAGUUACCCUGAUAGAUGAAUCACAUUGUAUUUUUUGUUCUAGUUUAUUGUGUGCUUUAUAUAUAAAGGCAACUUUGCCGAGGUGAUCAGGAUAAUAUUGAUUUCCUCUUUUUCCCUGUUGCCUAUAUUGAUCUGGCUAUGAUUUGUUUUUUGGGGACAAUGAAAUACGUUUUUGUUGUUCAACAUCUUUUCAUAGUGAAUAUUUUAGCUGAGAAACUUGUGUUACUGUAUUUUUCUACAAAGACUUUCACAACCGAUGUAUACUUUAGUACCUCAUAUUGUUUUUUCCCUUUCCGAAGGGGCAACUUUGCCGAGGUCAUCAAUAUUUAUUUGGUUUCCUCUUUUUCCCUGUUGCCUAUACAUAUUGCUUGGCUAUGCUGUGAUAUCUGGGGUCAUUGUUGUUUUGGUCGUUGAUCCUGGUGUUUUGUAGCCAAAUAUUCUUGUUAAUAUACACAAAAGUGUACUGGAUGUGUUUAUUAUAUCUUAUGACGUUUUGGUAGAGGUGCAACUUUGCCGCGGUCAUCAAUAUUCAUUUGAUCUCCUCUUUUUCCCUGUUGCCAAUAUUUUACUUGGCUAUUCUAUAUGAUUUUUGGGCAAACUUACUUUAGAUAGUUUUUCUAGUCUUAUUUUUUGCCAAUAUCUUUGUUUGUGAACACAUACUAGUCCUGGUUGAGUUUCUGUGAUCUGAUGAGACACAGAUAGGCGGGCAACUUUGCCGAGGCUAUCAAUUACAUUUGGCUUCCUCUUUUUCCCUGUUGUCAAUAUUCUGGUUGGCUAUGUUUUAUUAGGUGAGCAAUCUUGGCUUUGUUGGAAUCAAGUAUAUUCUAACUCUUGAAAGAGAUUGAAUUUCAAUAAGUUUUACCAGCCUUGCAUCAUUUGUUUUCAAGUGGUUGUGUGUCUUUUUUUCUGUCACCUUUCUUUGUUUGCAUCCUAAGAGGUUUUGCUGGACAUGAUCUAUCUAAAUGAUGAAAAAUCUAAACUGCUACGGAGCAUGCUCCAAUUAAGCUUUUUUUUUUUUUUUUGUCAUAGUUACACUGAUAGAAGGUUAUGUUUACCUCUCAAUAUUGUCAAAGAUUGGUAGACUUUCACCUGUUCUUUUCUGGUUAUGAACAAUUCAAAGUUGUUUACCGAGGGAACGAGUUUUUGUAUGACAUGUAUCAGGUUUAGUAAGGAUCGUGCCCUAGUGAUGAUUACUUAACAGAAGCUAUGGGUUUGACAUCCAAGUGAGGCUAUUUUGUCAUAGUUACUCUGAUGGGGCAAGUUGGUAAUUAACAUGGUUUUGCUAGUACAGAAUGAACUCUUCAUUUCCUUGAUGUGUGAGUCUUGAACCUUGAUAAUUUUUUGUGGUCCUCCAUGUUUGUUGCAAUCUAUUCUCGAAUUUAUAUAGUGAUUAUUCAUGUUCUGCCAUUAUCAUGUUCCGCUUACGGAUGUAUCUUUUUAAUGGAGAGUAUGUGGUUGGAGAAGCCAAACUUGAUGAAGAGUUUUGGGCAUCAGCAGGUUGAAGCACAAGGACUUUAUGAAGAUCCAUCACACAACCAGUUCGUAAAGCAAUACGCCAAGCCGGAAACUGUCCAUGUGCAUCAUUGCUGCAAGAAAGGAAGGCGAUAAUGUGCUUAUUUCCAUGCUUAAAAAUGUCAUUGGAACACUGGAUUUUCGUGGCAAGUACCCGUCACAGGGGGAGACUUAUCCUGAGGAACUUUCGAAGAACGAGGAUCACAGAAAUAUGGCAUAAUCUCGAGCGUAACUGUAACCGAAAUUGCACGUCAACAAGGUGUUUGAAGCAGCAUGCUGAGGUUUGCAAUUGAAACUGCAAAAGAAGAUGGAGGUGCAGGUAUUCUUACAUGUCCGUUGGGAUAACAAACCAGCAUUGGCACUGUACAGAAAGAUGGGAUUUGAGAUACUUGCAGAGGCGACUCCUCAUCUGGAAGUACAGAAUCUGUAGUUACAUUUUACUCAUUCUUGAAAACUAACAAAGGUUUUGUCCGAAAUGUAAAGUUCUGACGGUAGUAUUCAGUGAGACCUAGCAUAAGAAGAAUGGUACAUACGGAACCGUUCAUUGUAAAGUCCAUAUAAACAAGUGUGACAAAUUUUCAAAUAUAGGAAUAGUUAUCGGGGGAAUAGUUAUCGAGAUUGUUAGUUACUCUCUGCAUUCUAUGCCGAUAAUGAGCUGUUUGAGUUGCUCAUAUCCAAUUUGUCUGAUAUGUUUGGAAGCCUUGAGAGCCAGCAAAAGCAACCAGUUCUUAA